rnacentral:piRNA from 1 species
UGCAAUUAUUGGAGUCUGGAAUACAAU